GUGACCGUUCCUGGUAGUGAUUGCAUUUGUUAGUUAUACAGUGCAACCGCAGACGGUCACAUACAUCAAAACAGUUGGCUCUUGCCGACAGAGUCUGUAUAGUUAUCAGAUUUUCUGUGCGAUGGCUCCAUACAUA